GGUUAAAGGCCCGCCAAGCCGAAGACGGGUAGGGGCGGUGAGAGCCGUGAGCCCCGAGAUCGGCACUGAGACAAGGGCCGAGGCCCUACGGGGCGCAGCAGGCGCGAAUACUCCGCAAUGCGGGCAACCGCGACGGGGCUACCCCGAGUGCCGGGCGAAGAGCCCGGCUUUUGCCCGGUCUAAAACGCCGGGCGAAUAAGCGGGGGGCAAGUCUGGUGUCAGCCGCCGCGGUAAUACCAGCUCCGCGAGUGGUCGGGGUGUUUAUUGGGCUUAAAGCGCCCGUAGCCGGCCCGGCAAGUCGCUCCUGAAAUCCCCGGGCUCAACCCGGGGGCGGGGGGCGAUACUGCCGGGCUAGGGGGCGGGAGAGGCCGCCGGUACUCCGGGGGUAGGGGCGAAAUCCGUUAAUCCCCGGAGGACCACCAGUGGCGAAAGCGGGCGGCCAGAACGCGCCCGACGGUGAGGGGCGAAAG
rnacentral:rRNA from 1 species